UCUACGGGCGGCAGCAGUGGGGAAUAUUGCACAAUGGGCGGAAGCCUGAUGCAGCAACGCCGCGUGCGGGAUGACGGCCUUCGGGUUGUAAACCGCUUUCGCCUGUGACGAAGCGUGAGUGACGGUAAUGGGUAAAGAAGCACCGGCUAACUACGUGCCAGCAGCCGCGGUGAUACGUAGGGUGCGAGCGUUGUCCGGAUUUAUUGGGCGUAAAGGGCUCGUAGGUGGUUGAUCGCGUCGGAAGUGUAAUCUUGGGGCUUAACCCUGAGCGUGCUUUCGAUACGGGUUGACUUGAGGAAGGUAGGGGAGAAUGGAAUUCCUGGUGGAGCGGUGGAAUGCGCAGAUAUCAGGAGGAACACCAGUGGCGAAGGCGGUUCUCUGGGCCUUUCCUGACGCUGAGGAGCGAAAGCGUGGGGAGCGAACAGGCUUAGAUACCCUGGUAGUCCACGCUGUAAACGGUGGGUACUAGGUGUGGGGUCCAUUCCACGGGUUCCGUGCCGUAGCUAACGCUUUAAGUACCCCGCCUGGGGAGUACGGCCGCAAGGCUAAAACUCAAAGGAAUUGACGGA
rnacentral:rRNA from 1 species